GGACAGGUGGCCGAGUGGCUGAAGGCGCUCGCCUGGAACGCGGGUAUGGGUUAAUCGCUCAUCGAGGGUUCGAAUCCCUCCCUGUCCGCCA
rnacentral:tRNA from 1 species